UACAGAGGUCCCAAGCGUUGUUCGGAUUUACUGGGCGUAAAGGGAGCGUAGGUGGCAGGCAAAGUCUAAUGUGAAAGCUCUGAGCUUAACUCAGAAAUGGCAUUGGAUACUGGCUUGCUUGAGGAUUGGAGGGGAGACUGGAAUACUUGGUGUAGCAGUGAAAUGCGUAGAUAUCAAGUGGAACACCAGUGGCGAAGGCGAGUCUCUGGACAAUUCCUGACACUGAUGCUCGAAAGCUAGGGGAGCAAACGGG
rnacentral:rRNA from 1 species